AAUAUUGGUCAAUGGGGGAAACCCUGAACCAGCAAGGCCGCGAGAAGGAAGAAGGCUNNNGGGUUNACAACUCCUUUGACAGGNGAANAAAAAAAUGACGGACCACUGAAAACAAGCCACGGCAACCUCAGUUCCUGCAGUCGCGGUAACACGUAGGUUGCAAGCGUGAUCCGGAUUUACUGGGUGUAAAGGGCGCGUAGGCGGGCAUGUAAGUCAGAUGUGAAAUUUAUGGGCUUAACCCAUAACCUGCAUUUGAAACUGCGUGUCUUGAGUGAUGGAGAGGUAAGUGGAAUUCCUAGUGUAGCGGUGGAAUGCGUAGAUAUUAGGAGGAACACCAGUGGCGAAGGCGACUUACUGGACAUUAACUGACGCUGAGGCGCGAAAGCGUGGGGAGCAAACAGG
rnacentral:rRNA from 1 species